CUGAUAUUCAAAGUAAAGUGAGUUUAUGUUUCGGCCAUAAAUCUGUGGAUGUGAAAUAUCUACUGUCAGA
rnacentral:tRNA from 1 species